GGUUCUUUUUCAUUGGUCAGAGAAUCCUGGUUUGUGUUUUUUUUUUUUUUUUUUUUUUGCUAUGCAGUUUCCCACAGCCUGAAUUGUGCUGAUAACAUCUGAUGGUAUCAUUUAACAUGUUCCUGUGUUCUGCAUGCUUCUUGCAAUUGCAUUUAGAUCUAAAUCUUGAUCAGAUUCAGGGCUGAUGCUUUGUUAAAGACACUUGAAAGGUUACGUUGUGAAUCUCCAAUAAGAUCAUGUAACUCCACUGUAUCUCUGUUAGCAGCCAUUCAUGAUUGAGUCAUUUGGCUUCAGUCAAAAACAAACCGCACAGUAAUUCAAUUAUCAGAAAUUAAAUGUACACAAUUAUCAGCAUCCGAUCGAAGGAUAACUAUGAAGUUAUAGAGACCUCUAAAAAGUACCUAAAUUGGAGAGUGUCCAUGAGAAAACAACUGAAGGUGAAUUCUCUCCAAGGCUAGAGUUCUGACUUUGUUGGGGAGGUGAGCUUGUGGCACACUGAAUAGUAGUUGAGUUGGGUUGCACCUGGGUUGCACCUGGGUUGUCUCAUCAGAGUUAGGUCACAGGUACAAGGAAAGAGGAAAGAACCCAAGGCAAGUUGAGGCUGGUGAGUGAGACACACACAUGUCCAGCUGGUGGAGGGCCUGGUAUGCAGCAUUCAUAUUGAAAAGACAGUGGGAAACAAAGUCCUGGGCCAUAGGCCCAGUAAGGCUGGAGGGCAGUGCCCAGGAGGAGUCAAGGCUCCACUAUGGCUUUGAGGCUUGGACCACAACAGUGUCCAUACCAUAAGGGCUGAAGGAAGGUGGUCCCUGGGUCUAGGCGUGGCUCAGACUCUCUGGUACUUCAUAUUCUAAAUACAUCGCUGGGACAGUAGAUCCCCACUACAUGUGCUGCCACGGAGAGGCCUUGAAGCAGGAAAUAAGAACAAAGGCCUGACCUAGGGAACCAGGAAGAAAAACCCCUUCUUCUUCCUGCAGUAUCCCUCCAGCGACCUCUACUGACAAAGCUUACAUCGUGCUCACUGCAAAGGAGAAACGUUAGCGCGCAAUCUGUAAUCUCAGAGCAGGUACUGAAGGGAGGAUUUGCAGCUGAGGGACAGUCAAUUAAAAACUGGCAUAAUGACCAUUGUCUAGGUCCAUUCCAUAUUUCAUUUUAUGUCUCAAACUAAUGCCAUUCUAACUCUAUUCAUCUUCGUAUAUUAGCUGGAAUCGUUUCCACAUACUCUCUUUGAGCGCCCUGGGUGCAGAAACCUCUCUACUAUUUACCUAGGUAGAUCUUUAGGGUUGCAGUACAUUUUGCUUCUUUAAUUCCAGGUCUGAUCUGAACUCUCUUUCAAGUUCCUGUCCCCAGACUUCUCUCUUCCUCUCUUCUUCAUCCUGAAUUUUUUUUAUUGUAAUUAAUUUUUUUAGAUUGGGUCUCACUGUGUGCUUCAGGUGGCCUUGAACCUACUACGUAGCCCAGGCUGGCCUUGAAGUCCCUCAGCCUCCCCAGUGCUGGGGCUAUAAGCAUGCACUUCUAUGCCCAGCUACCGCCUGAAUCUUCACAGAUUCCCUGAGCAGAGUUUUUCUUUCACACUUCAUGGGAUCCUCACAACCACUUCAUGUAAUGAGUGUUGCUGUUAGUAUUUUACAGAGAGGGACCCAGGUGCUUAGUGAGGUGAAUCAAGCACUUCUAGGUCCCCCAGCUGGUGACAGGAAGAGCUGGGAUUAGAAUGGGAGGCUGCAUAACUAAAUCACGAGACCUUUGCAGUUCAGGAAAAGUCAACUUUAGGUUCCUACCUUCUCAUCAUUUCUAUCCCUCCACUCAAGACAUUGGGCCAUUAAAAACUUUUGUUUACCUUACUUCUUCCUUUUGAAAGUUCCCAAUCUGUCUUCCUGGUUUUCUUCCGCCAACAUCCAGUCCACGUCUCCAUCUAGGCAGGUACUUCCUCUCAGACAGCCUUAUGCCAUUCAAUUGCAGUUCAUUUCUCUGUUCCCAAUUAGAUGGCACAGACACCUCGAUCCUCUGUGGUUCUGAAGAUACUCUUUCCACUUCUUCCAUUUCCCUGCACACCGUAGAGAAUGAGGAUGCAGGCAAGGGUUUCCCUUCCCAGAGGUACGUAUGCUACUUAGGGAGCUGUGGAGAAGAGAAUAAACAAGCUUGGCUUUGGCAUUCGUUGAUACUGGUUCUUUUCAUUUUCCACCUCAGGAAAGUGGGCCAGCUGUGAAGUUCUGAUCAUUCCGGCCGUGUAGCCUGCAGAAAACCAUGCUAUUUUUCUUUUUCUCUUUGUUCUCCAGUUCUUCCUUCCUCCUCCUCCAACUCACUGCUCUCUUUCCUCUUCUUCUGAGUCAUCCUCUGCACCCAGAGGCCCCACUCCCACCGCAGAUCUGCCCGCCCCCUUCACUCCUUCCUUUUGGUCCAUGGCCUCUUCUCUUCCUCGCUUUCCUUCCUCUUACCCAGGACCGAACACAAUAACAAAAGAGUGGGGAGUAAGUAAAUAGCUGCCUGCCCUCUUUUGAAAGUCCCAAGAAAGCAGUUUCCUUUGCCUCCUUUGAUAGAGUCUUUGUAUUUCAAAAUGUCUGGCCCUUAUUCAAGGCCAGCCACAGUAGCCAUGGAGUCAUUGUGUUGAGGCAAGGUAAAGCUAGGCCGCUUCUAUUUUUAGGUGCAACUGUGUUUCUGGAAAACACUGUAUAACACUUAAUAGGAAAUCCUGAGAGUGUGAAGACUGUCUCCUGCUAAUGGAAGCAUUAUUGUCUUUGGCUGCUCUUACCAUGCUUGAAACCUUUGAAUAAAUGGCCAAAGACGCAGGGGCAGGGGAGGAAAGCACAGGACUGAUGAGAAAGUAAGUACGGAGUCAGGGAAAGUAGGGUUGCCAAGGAAGGUGAUUGAGAGCUGCAAGCAAGAGCAAGGAAGUUGUAGAACUCUCUCACAGGAUGAGACCAAAAUAGGGUCAGCUACAGGGAGGUGCUGCCAGCUCAGGACGUGCUGCUUGUUAUUUAAAAAUGGCCCAUGAGUAGGUGGCUAUCUAAUGGAUGUGCUCGAGGAUGAUAAUGGUGACAGUUGUAGUUUACAUGUACGUGUCCUCUCAAAGCCUCCUAUGCUCAGAGGCAGGCAUUUUGAAAGGUGGUUGAAUUAUGAGAGUCUUACAGCUAAAUGUGAUGUUAGAAGGUGGAGCUUGGCCAGAAGAGGGAGUCACAGUGGGUGUUCCCUGGAAGUCUCUAUCUUUCUUCCUGGAUGCCAUGGUGUGAGCAGCUUUCCUCUGUCCAGCCCUUCCACCAUGACUUCCUACCCUGCCACCAGCUGACUUUAGACUAAAAAUGUAAGCCAAAAUAAACCUCUUCUCCUUUUUAGAAAAAUUUUAUUUAAAGAAAGACAAAACAAAACUGAAAAUGGGCAGAAAUAUUACAUACUUUCAAAGCAAAGAAAUAAACAGUAAUAAGUCACUAGUUGAUAUAUACAUAUUGUCCCCCCACAAAUAGUUGUUUAAGAUACAAAAGUGGAACAUAUAAAUGAGAAUUCAACCAGGGAGACUGCAAACAGUUCUGUUGAACUACCCAACAAAAACUAAGUAAUAUGGCUAUCAAUCCUAUUCACGUAGACAUGUACGCAUUUAUCCAUAUCCUCAUUUAUGUUGAGACCUAACAAAACUUAGUAGAUUAAAAUCAUUCUGAACAAAAAUUAAUAAUAUUUCUGGAUUUCACAUCAUGACACUCCAGAAUCAGCACUGGGUACUGCAGUGCCCCUUUUUUUCCUUCAAAGUAUUUGUUCAUUUCAUCAUGUGUAAUAAGAUCAGUUCUCAUAAACUGUUUAUAGGUUCUACACAUGCAUGAGUCUUAACAUGUAUUUCUAUCUUUAGAGGGAGAAACAGAACAAAAUGUAUUCCUAUUGAUACAUAAAACUAAAAAGACAUAUAAAACUGCUGUAUCAGGAGAUCUACCAUGGUCACUGUGCUAUCUCUUGUUAUCAUCAACAGAAUUGGCUAUAUCAUCAGAUAAAGUAUAAUUUAAUAUAUCAGUACCUAACAGAAUCAAUAGAAAUACAACUUGAUAGAUAGUAUAGAGCUACAAAAACAGGUAGUAAUCAAAUCAGAAUGGAUAUCGUAGUGAAUCCGUAUAGUUGUCUAUACUCCUCAACUUGAUACCAGCAACCUAACAGUUUUGAAUAAAAUCUGUCAAUAGUAAGCAGCAAUCAAACAAGUCAGAUUUAACUAAGAUCAGUCAUGAUACAACAGUAUAAGUCAUACAGGUAUCUGAUUCAGUUAAUACGAAAUUAAAGAUGACCACUGUGCUAUAUCCUGAUAUCUUCGGGACAGCUGUCUGUGCCCUCAGAUCCAGUGCUUGUAUACAAACUGGGACGGAACAAGUUCCAUUCAAGCAGAGUUGUGUGAGUAAUAAGGGUUUUAAUUCCUGAUACACUAUUAACAAUAUCUUCUGCUAUCUUUUUUUAAGACUAUUCAUCCUCUUGCACUCCCCCAGGAAGCACUGUGUAUUUUUGGGUCUUCCCAACACUCUCGGUUUUAUAGUGGGGGGGCAACCUGCUAUUUACCUAAGUGUUUCUGAACUUUCUCACUCCUGGACUUGAUUUCUAGUUAUAUUUCUUCACUUAUUAAAGCCUGUCUUUUCAACCUAUCCAUAAAUACUGGUCCAGUUACCCCUAUUACUCUCUGGUUCUCUAUCACAUCAAGUUCCAUUUUCUCAUAUUUGAUUUUAGUUCAUAUACCCUUCUUCAGGUUAAUUAUAUUUCCUAUAAAGAACAUCUUGGUGGACCCUACCUUUUGAUCCACUCUGCCUGUGAUUCUCUUUUUUCCCUUAAGUUAGUGUAUCUAGGCCAUCUAUAUUAGCAAUUAUAUCCAAUCUUCUCUGCCUCAGUUCUGUUGUGCUCUUUUUCCAUCAUUAGUUGUCUGUUUGUCUUCUUCAUUUCAUUUUUGUUCCAUUCAUUGGAGCCUCUCUGCCAAUGUUCCUGAAAUCCUGGCACUUUUCUCUCUCUUUAGAAUGUCCUGUAGUAUUCUCUGGAGAGUUGGAUUGGUGGUUGCAAAUUCCCCCAGUUCCUCUUUAUCUUGGAAGCCUCUUGUUUCUCCAUUAAUUUCUAGGGACAUUUGUGCAGGAUAUAUCAAUCUGGGCUGAAGGUUAUUUUCUUUCAAGGCUUGGAUUAUUGUGCCCCACACUCUUCUUGAUUUGAUAGUGUGUGUGGAGAAGUCUGCCAUAAUUCUGAUGGGUUUUCCCUUGUAAGUGAUCUGUUUCUUGUCUCUGACAGCUUUUAAUAUUUUGUUCUUAUAUUGAAUCUCUAGAAUCUUGAUUAUUAUGUGCCUGGUUAUAGUUCUGUUUUGUUUGUAGGUGGCUGGAGUUCUGUAUGCCUCAUACAUCUGCAUAUCAUUUCCUUUUCCUAUGUUUUUCUGUGAAUAGCCUUUGCAUUUCCUUUGUUUGUACCCCUGCUUCUUCAUUCACAUUCUUUAUUCUUAAGUUACAGAUCCUCUUGUCAUCUUCUAGCCUUUGUAUUGUUAAUGCUUGUUUCCUUGUUAUUUUAAAGAAAUUUUUCUUUUCAUGUUCCCACAUUGCAAACCUGUCCUCCAGUUCAGAUAAUCUAUCCUUAGUUUCUUUCAAGCAGUUUUGCCAGCUUUCAAUGGAGUUUUUAAUUUCCUGGUAAUCUCUUUGAACUUGCUUCAUGUUUUCUAUGUUUUCUCUAUUUUCUCCAUCAAACAAUUCUCCCCCCCUUUUUUUUGUUCUUCCAUUCUUCCAUCUGUUUUUUCUUGGGAGGUGCUUGGCAUUUUUUAAAUUAUUCUAUUUAUAGCUUGCUUUACUUGGUUAAAUACUUCACUUUUGAACUCAUCUAUGAGGUCCUGAAGAUAUUGUUUUAUGUGUAUUGGUGCUGUGCCUGAUAUUGCAUGUUUGCUGUCCUCAUUCUCCUUUGCAUUUACCUUUCCUAGAUCAGUGUUCUCAGGAUGGUGGACUAAGGACCCUUUCUUGUUGCCUCCUCUUCUCAUAUUUUUUGUUCCUUCCAUCCAGGCAUAUAUAGGAGGCUCAGUUUCUUUCUUUGUUGGUUUCAGUUUGUCUGAAGUGUACUGACUAGGUGGUCCCACCCACUGUAGCAUACUAGGAGGUACAGACCUAGUAUGGGCAGCCUAUGUUGGGCCUACCUCUCCAGGUCAGUGAACCCGCUGAAGACUUCACUGCUAGGGUGCACCACCAGGCAUAGGGACUUGGUUUGGGCUAGCCUAUUGGGUCUCAGUCCAUGGCGUCACCCAGGUCAAGUGCUCCCCACCAAUCCUGCUUGAGAAGGGAAUAGCUGACUGAAGUCACUGCAGGGCCUUGUUCUGGCCAGUCUGCCCAGUCCCAGAAUGUCAUUUGUUGGAGCUCCCCCUUCUCUAUGAAGGGUUUUUAUUCCCAUCACUCACCGCAGGUUGAUGCAGGGUUCCCUGCCAGCUCUGCUCUCAACUCAGUUCACCAAAUCCUGCUCUCAGUGCGUUCAUGUCUCCAGUGAGUUGAAACUAGCAAGCUAUUCCGGCUGCGCCAGCUCAGGCUCUCUCGGCAGCAGCAGCAAAUUCAAGCAGUGUGUUCAAGCAACAGCACUGAGACUGUAGCUAUUUCAAUCAUAGCACCAGGACUGUAUUUUUAAUUGGUUUCUCUCAGCUUAGUUUGUUCCUGGAUUGGCAGGGUGUAUCUCCCUCUGUUUGGGACUCCCCACACUGUAUUAUUUUUGGAAUCUAAGUUGGGUAUCUCAGAGAGCCUGUAUAGCUGCUGUUAUCUAUCCACCAUCUUCUUCUUUAAGUUUCAGGUGUUGGAUAUUUUGUCCCAACCACGAGAGAAGUGACUAAGGCAAUAAUCUGUUGUGAUGAUGGAGCAGUGUUGGCAGUGUUGGAGAGACCUCUGUUCAUUCAUUUUAAAAUAGGAAUAAGAAGGUAUAGGUUCUUAGGCCUGAGAGGUACUAGAUGGUUCUGGAGCAAUGCUUCAUGCAUAUAUGGGUGAAUUGUUCAAGUGCUGAUUUCCACUUAGUAAGUCUGGGGUGAGUGGUCAUGCAUUCCUAAGUCUCAAGCAAGUUCUCCUAGCUAACCAAUAUCUGCAUCCUCUUCAUGCACUCAAGGAUCAAGGCAUCUUUUCUCUACUCCAUGUUCUUGGUGACUUAAAUUGCCCAAUGUGGAAAAAUGCACAGCAUAAAAAUCAGCAAAUGCAAAUAUAUAAAUGAGACUCUGUUCAUUUCCUUUCCUUUUUCUCCUUCUUCUUCUUGGAGAUCUGGUUUACCAGCAUACAAUUAGAAUGGAAGAAUGACUACAUUGUGAUUCAUAAAAACUUUCUUAUUUUGAGACUGACCUGGGCCAUUUAUCAUGGUUCUUUGUGCAGCACACUAAAGGGGGCUAUGGUAGUGUUGUAUCAACUCAGAUCCUACCUCUAACAGCUUCCUAAAAGAUCUAGGUAAUCCCUUUUCCCCAGUGUGGAACUACUGAGGUCAGUAAGUAAGAAACCUUGUGGGGGAGUGUUGGGAGCCACCACAUUGUCGAGCCGCCGCAUAUAGCGAUCAUGCGGCCUGUGGUAAAGAGCAAAGCCUGAGUUAGAUUACCCCUCUCAUCGAGCACGUUAGUUUUCUGCUUACCGCGUAAACAACCCGCUCAAUAAUAUGUUAGCCAAUCAGCUUGCCUUGCUUAUUUUAAUAUGAUUGGACACUGUAUCUAUAUAUAUACUGGUGCCACCCCUGGGGGGAAGUAGAAGCCCGGAAGGAGCCGCGGAGAGCGGACCGGUAGAGGCUUCGGAGCGAAGCCCGGAAGGAGCCGCGGAGAGCGGACCGGUAGAGGCUUCGGAGCGAAACACGAAAGGAGCCGCGGGGAGCGGACCAGAGGAGGCUUCGGCUGGGAGCGAUCCCAGGGCAGGCUGUACGGAGAAAAAAUUAAAAAAAAGGUUGUCCACUGCCAGACGUGUGUCCUUCCUGCCGGCCGGGAGCGACAUCGACAUUUGGUGGCCCGCACGGGGAACAACUGAUCACCCCCGAGACGUGGUAGUGGACAACGUUCCUUGAUACAGCACUGAGAGACAGGAAUCGGGACGAGAACCACUGUGGGUACCAGAGAGACUGACACGGGCGACAAAGCCCUCGACUAAAGAUCAGACCUGCCCUACCGGAGAUCCAUCACAGACCAACCAACAAGAUAAAUAAAAAUAGCGGUAGCCCAAAA